UGAAAUCAUGUGUUUAUACAAAGGGUUU
rnacentral:piRNA from 1 species